rnacentral:misc_RNA from 1 species
UCGUAACAAGGUUUCCGUAGGUGAACCUGCGGAAGGAUCAUUACCGAGUGAGGGCCCUCUGGGUCCAACCUCCCACCCGUGUCUAUCGUACCUUGUUGCUUCGGCGGGCCCGCCGUUUCGACGGCCGCCGGGGAGGCCUUGCGCCCCCGGGCCCGCGCCCGCCGAAGACCCCAACAUGAACGCUGUUCUGAAAGUAUGCAGUCUGAGUUGAUUAUCGUAAUCAGUUAAAACUUUCAACAACGGAUCUCUUGGUUCCGGCAUCGAUGAAGAACGCAGCGAAAUGCGAUAAGUAAUGUGAAUUGCAGAAUUCAGUGAAUCAUCGAGUCUUUGAACGCACAUUGCGCCCCCUGGUAUUCCGGGGGGCAUGCCUGUCCGAGCGUCAUUGCUGCCCUCAAGCACGGCUUGUGUGUUGGGCCCCCGUCCCCCUCUCCCGGGGGACGGGCCCGAAAGGCAGCGGCGGCACCGCGUCCGGUCCUCGAGCGUAUGGGGCUUUGUCACCUGCUCUGUAGGCCCGGCCGGCGCCAGCCGACACCCAACUUUAUUUUUCUAAGGUUGACCUCGGAUCAGGUAGGGAUACCCGCUGAACUUAAGCAUAUCAAUAAGCGGAGGAA